AUUGAACGCUGGCGGCAUGCUUUACACAUGCAAGUCGAACGGUAACAGGCCGCAAGGUGCUGACGAGUGGCGAACGGGUGAGUAAUGCAUCGGAACGUGCCCAGUCGUGGGGGAUAACGCAGCGAAAGCUGCGCUAAUACCGCAUACGAUCUAUGGAUGAAAGCGGGGGACCGUAAGGCCUCGCGCGAUUGGAGCGGCCGAUGUCAGAUUAGGUAGUUGGUGGGGGAAAGGCUCACCAAGCCAACCAUCUGUAGCUGGUAUGAGAGGACGAGCAGCCACACUGGGACUGUGACGCGGCCCAGACUCCUACGGGAGGCAGCAGUGGGGAAUUUUGGACAAUGGGCGCAAGCCUGAUCCAGCAAUGCCGCGUGCAGGAAGAAGGCCUUCGGGUUGUAAACUGCUUUUGUACGGAACGAAACGGUCCGGGUUAAUACCCUGGGCUAAUGACGGUACCGUAAGAAUAAGCACCGGCUAACUACGUGCCAGCCGCCGCAGUAACAC
rnacentral:rRNA from 1 species